rnacentral:rRNA from 1 species
CAAUAGCGUAUGCUAAAGUUGUUGCAGUUAAAAAGCUCGUAGUUGAAUUUUAGAGUCAAGCGUGAUUCGUCUACCACUUGGUACGUACGAAAAACCUUACUCUUCUUUCUGAAAGCUUUUCAUAUACUUAAUUGUAUGUGUCUUGAUUUCAGAUCGUCUACCUUGAACAAAUCCAAGUGUUCAAAGCAGGCUUACGCAACUGAAGGCUUUUUCAUGGAAUAGUAGAACAGGACUUUGCGUCUUUCUGUUGGUUCUGAAGACCAAAGUAAUGAUUAAUAGGGACAGUUUGGGGACAUUAGUAUUUCGUUGCAAGAGGUGAAAUUCUAUGAUUUACGAAAGACUAACUACUGCGAAAGCAUUUGUCAAGGAUGUUUUCAUUAA